rnacentral:miRNA from 1 species
UCAGUUCUAUGGCCAUGCUACCCUGAACAAGCCCAAUCCCAUCUGAUCUCAGAAGCUAAGCAGGGUCGGGCCUGGUUAGUACUUAAAUG